GAAUUUUGUGUGGCUCGGGGCUUGGAUUUCAGCCUUCAUAUCUUCUCCAGAUUUGUGUUCGGUCUGCACCUUCUACAUGACAUGGUGGAGUAUGCAUUACAUAAAGCCCCCAGGUUAGAGACAGGACCCCUAGGGCCAGGAGGGGGUAAGUACAGCGCUGACCAGGACUGGAGGCCAUGUCACCCUUGCCCCAACACUUGUGAAUUUGACCUGGUCAUCCCACCUGCCAGCACAGCGUGAACUGGGCCUCCCCACAAGGAAGCCCGGAAGUCCCUGUGAGUCCAUAAGGGCUGCAUGGCUCCUGACUUCAACCAGUCAGCCUCUCGUCCAGAAGGGGAGGCCCGGGGCAGGGGGCAUGCUGCUUGCCUGCCCGGUGGGCUUACUCUGUGGGCUCUCGCUUUCUCCUGGAAGUGCAGCAAAAUGUUACAGUAAUCAAGAUAAGGCAGAUUUAUUAACUAGUCUUUCCCAGCACAAUCUGAGGUCACCCAAGAUGCAGUUUCAGAUGGAGGUUUACAACAGUGAGCCUGGGUAGAGAGCAGGACUCCUUCUGGCCAUCCCGUGACACCCCGUGUUAGUGUUUGUCCCUCUUUCCCCUGCUGCUUCUGGAGUACCUAAGAGCUACGCUGCUGUCCCAGACCGAGACUCCAGGACAGGACCUGGCACAAAGCCCUGACUGAGGCUGACCUCUCAGGAGAGAUCGCACGGGUAAGGGGGCACACUUGGGCAGCAAAGGGAGACCCCACCCUUCCCUGGCUGCAGGGCUGAGUAUUUGGGGUGUGAGUGGAAGAAUGCCAGGCGGGUUCAGUCCUUCGGUCCAUGGGUGUGGGGCCCUCCAGGUGCCUGCUCUUUGUGGCAGGCUGUUACAGCAGGGCUGUGGAUUUGUCCCGGCUCUACAGAAAAGGGACCCACAGGGUCCCCCAGGCAGCUGCUCUACCCUGGGAGUGCAGCUCGGGCAAGCCGUAGACCAGCAGCUUCCCUGGGUUCUUCUGCCCCAGAAGCAACAGCAGGUUUGGUGCAGACGAGCAGCAAGUGCCACAUGGGGCGAUCACACCACGGGAUUCCUGGCUUUGCCUCUUUAGUGGGUGCCUUGUGAUCUGCAUCAUGGUGAGGAGGACUCCAGGGACAGAUGGCCAGGAACGUUCCCAUGUGGUGGAGGAGACUCCACUGGCAGAGAAGCAGCGUCAAGCUGAAGACAUUGGGGUGCGCUGGCUGGCCAGGACAGAGCUUGUCUCCCUGUCCACACAUGGAACACUGGACUUCACUCUGCGGCCCAGCCAGCGGUCUCAUCUCGCAGCCGCAGCUUUCAGCAGGAAGGAGCUCGCUGGUGCCUGCCUGACCUACCAGGGCCCACACCGUUUUGCCCUCCUAACAUUCUGUAUUUUAAGUGCUUGUAACAGUCCACAAAAUAACCACUCAGAAUCUGUUACUAUUUUGUUUAUACAUUGUAUCAAGUGAAUGUUACCAAGUCAUCUAAGUGUAUGCUUUAGUUAUAAAUCUUGGAAAAAUAAAAACUUCCUUUUGGAGGAAAAGUUAACUUACUUUGGUAUGAAAAUCACACAACUCCAGGUUGGAUUUUUUUGUGCUUUAAUGUUCGCAGUCACACAAAAGUGGUAUCUCCAUCAGCACUGGGGCGGCCACCUCCUCCUCAUCAGCCCGACAGCUGCACGGUCCCGCCUCUCACCCAUUUGGUCUGUUUGCAAGUUACUAGAUCAUACAAAAAUAACCGCUACAAAUUCUCUGUAUCUGGCAUAUAAAAACUGAGCAAAAAGUAUCUCUUAAAGCAAAACAUCUCAGAAAAAAUACAACACAGGUUUAACUUCUGCAGUACUUUGUUCAUAUAAAA